rnacentral:rRNA from 1 species
UACGUAGGUGGCAAGCGUUGUCCGGAUUUACUGGGCGUAAAGGAUGCGUAGGCGGACAUUUAAGUCAGAUGUGAAAUACCCGAGCUUAACUUGGGUGCUGCAUUUGAAACUGGGUGUCUAGAGUGCAGAAGGGGCAAUCGGGAAUUCUUGGUGUAGCGGUGAAAUGCGUAGAUAUCAAGAGGAACACCUGAGGUGAAGACGGGUUGCUGGGCUGACACUGACGCUGAUGCGCGAAAGCCAGGGGAGCAAACGGG